AUACCAGUGAUGUGGCUCAAGCUAGAGC
rnacentral:sRNA from 1 species